rnacentral:lncRNA from 1 species
UAAGCUAAAACGAUUGCUAAACAUAUUUAUUUUAUUGAAAGUAAAUAUAGAGUAGUUAGUUUAGCAACAAAAUUCAAUAAAGCUUGUUGAAGAAACUUCAAUGAAGUCUUAAUAAGUAUUCUAAUUUGUUUUUUUGCUUGUUUGUUUAUGUUUAGAAAAAUGACAAGGAAUGCAAGCAUUGGGAGAAGCUUUGAGCUUUGCAAAGUGCUGUAUAUGAAGGAAGGUACCUAAAGACACCCGAAAAUUGCGAUAUAGGUUGACAUCUAUUUCAAAUGAUAUCAAAAAUUAACUUUGAAUAUGGGUGUAUGUAAAAACACUGGCAACCAGCUUGUAUGCCAAUAUAUAAAAGUCUCAUUGACCCAUGUUUCAGUGUAUGCUGAUGUAGCUUCUAAAAUGUGAGAGGGCAAGGAAAUUAGACGUUACAGUACUUUUCACAAACUAAUCUGGCUUUAGUCUAUAUACUACAAGAAGUAAUAAGAAAAAUCAAUUUCAGAAGAUUACCAAUCCUUUCUUCCUGGCAUCUUUCAAAAACUCUUAAAAGUGAAUUUGGCAUUGACAGGUUAUAUACUUUUUUUGU